UUCGUCGAGCAGGGGUUAGGUGUGGUUCGCUUCGGAUUUUCGCUAUUGAAUAUCCAGGUCUGGGGGCAUCGAUCAGAUUCAGAGCUCAAUUUACCUUAUCAUUUCUAUUUCGUGCCCAAAAGCUCUCAGAGUCUCUGGCAUGUGUGCUUGUGAUUGCCUAGUUUGUUCUUGUGAAUCCUGUUUGGAGAUUUUACCAUGCAUCUUGCAGCGUUUGGACGUCACAUAUUACAUAUAUAUUAUAGUUAUGUGCCCAGAGCGACACUCAUAAUCUCAAAUACUUGGGGCAACGAUGCUCUUGGUCGGCUAAUAAAAUCAAGUCCGCAAAUUGCAGAACAACACCAACUGGCUGUCAUUGACUGCUUAGAGAACCCUGAUGAUACUCUGAAGCGAAAAACAUUUGAACUGUUAUAAAAAAUGACAAAGUCCUCCAAUGUCUUCAACGAUAACUAACGAUGGCUACUGAUUGCGAGCCAUGAAUAGGGUUUUUGAUCAUGCUGGAGAUCUUGUGAAUGAUUAUCAAGGUGGCACAUAAUUUAAUGCGAUUGAUUGCAAAAGGUUUUGGAGAAGAUGUUGCUGCUGCAGAUAGUCAACGGAGAUCAUCAGCUAUAUUGCAAAAGCUUUUGGAUUAUUGCACUGUUUUUUUCAAAAUAUUUACUACAAAGAUGCAUGUCGCCAUAAGUUAUUUAUGGGAGCUUCUUUCUGAAGUGGAGGUUGAGUCAUAUUUGCGUGCCAUUGGGGAGCCGAAGCUUCCAUCUAUGUUUCUUUAAGUACUUACUAUCUUACUUAGGUUUUUGCAUUUCUGUACUUGUUAUAUUUUGCAAAGAAAUUAGACUUGUUCCAUGGCAUAAUCUUAAAUACUGAUUGCAAGUCAUUUGUUGGGUUCUGAGUGAUUAUGGCACAGCUGCUGGACAGUGUUCUGCUUCCUAUAUCGCUGCAAAGUUAUGUGACA